GGAGGGGGGCACCUCUAUUCAGCCUCCCUGCACCUAGGUAUCCUGAUGUCCAAGUUCCAUUCUUCCUCUCCUCUUUCUCCAUUUUCAGCUGAGUUAUCUGCACACUCACAAAGCCUGCUUGAUGACCUUGGCACACACUUGCCAAAUACCUCCAGCUCUCUAUAAGUCCAUGGGGGAGGCCAACAUGUUUCACACCUUACUCUAUGCCCCUGGUUAAUUCUAAAGGCAACACUGAUUUGGCCAUAACGGGGUUCAGAAUGCACUACCCCAAAAUAUGGCACUUUGACAUUUGAGAAGCAGGAAGAACUCUCUGACCUCCUCCUGCCCUUCUCCCAUGAAGCAGGCCAUAAAACCUAGCAAAG
rnacentral:lncRNA from 1 species